AUAUUCGAAGGUACGAUCAAUUUCUUAUUUAUCAAAUGAUUUACAGCUUGUUUGUGUAAGUGACCCAAGCGACAAUGCCAUAAACCAGUAGUUGCUUUUUCAACUGCUAAAGUAUCUGGAUUUCUUCUAAUAUCCACCGACAGUUGAUACAGUCCAUUCUUUUGCCUUCCCCUCAUCAGCAGCCUCCUAGUGGUUGCAUCCAGCACCUUUACAUUCUGAUCAUCAAAUUCAAGCACAACUUUGUUAUGAAGACAAAAUUGAUGCACGCGGAUAGUAGAUUUUUUGUUGCAGUAGGUACAAGCAGAAUAUCUUCUAAUGAAAUUUUUUUUCACCUCUACCAGUGUGUGAGAUCGUUAUUUGUUCACCAUUAAUUAGCUGCUGAGACAGAUGAAUAUCCAGAAUAUAUUUUAGAUUUUUGUAAUAAUUCUGAAUUACCUGUAAUGUGUGUAGAUGCACCAGUGUCGGGAUACCAGAUCAGGUGAUGACUCUCUUCUUUAACAGUUGUCAUAUUUGCCUCCACAACUCCUGAAAUUCCUAUUACCACCAUUUUUCGGUUAUGAUUUGGAGGAAAUCGACGAGCGUUAAACCUGCUGUAACAGUUGAUUGCCACGUGACCUUUGCGCCCACAGAUUUGGCACGAUCCUUUGCUGUGGGCACUGUUGUAAUUACUACCUGUAGAUGAGGUUGUAGACAAACCUCUUCUUGUACCUGUGGUGGCUAUAUAUAUAUGUUAGCAGCGAUUGGUGAAUCCUUCAGGUCCUUUUCCAUCCUCAUUUCUUGGUCCAGCAACAUAGCUUGUAGAUCCAUGAAUGGUAGAAUAUGAUUAAAGUUGGCAGUAUGGCAGUAAGAAACUGGGAAUAUUUUGGUUUGAGUCCUCCAAGGAUUAUGAGAACUAUCUGUGACUGAUCUACAAUCUCUCCCACUGCUACAAGAUUGUCAAGGAUCUUGCGAACAUGAUCGAGCGAUGUAUGCCUCUAUUAUCAUCGUUCCUUGUUUCACUUCUAGAAAUUGUUGGCGGAGAUAUAGUAUUUGGGUGGCAGAUUUGAGUGAGAACAAGUUGGACAGUGUCGUCCAAACUUCUGCCGAAGUUUCUGGACUUGCGACUUGUGGAAGAAUUGUUGAUGAAAUUAAGUGUAGCAAGUAACCAAUCUAAAAUAAUUUGAUCCUGUCUUGCAUGGAUCGAUGAGGUGGAGAGAUCAAAUCAUCCUAUUGUAGAGUUGUAGAGAAAGAGAGGGAAAAAAAUAUUUGGUCUCACUUGGAUUGUGAGAUCGCCGGCGAAGCUUUACAUCGUUGUAGUUAGAUAUCUGCGGUGUACGUACGGAAGUCGUCGUAGAAGGGGGAAAAAAACUAAACUCUGUGACUCACAGAUUACAAAUCAUGUUCAUGAAAAGAAAAUUAAUGUGAUUGCAGUAAUGUGAUUCUGGAACUGCGACUGGAACUUGAUUCUGUAACGUGAUGCGGAAGAUUAAUGUGCAGAUCAAUU
rnacentral:lncRNA from 1 species